rnacentral:rRNA from 1 species
GAUGAACGCUGGCGGCGUGCCUAAUACAUGCAAGUCGAGCGAACAGAUAAGGAGCUUGCUCCUUUGACGUUAGCGGCGGACGGGUGAGUUACACGUGGAUAACCUACCUAUAAGACUGGGAUAACUUCGGGAAACCGGAGCUAAUACCGGAUAACAUAUUGAACCGCAUGGUUCAAUAGUGAAAGGCGGCUUUGCUGUCACUUAUAGAUGGAUCCGCGCCGUAUUAGCUAGUUGGUAAGGUAACGGCUUACCAAGGCAACGAUACGUAGCCGACCUGAGAGGGUGGUCGGCCACACUGGAACUGAGACACGGUCCAGGCUCCUACGGGAAGCAGCAGUAGGGAAUCUGCCGCAAUGGGCGAAAACCUGACGGAGCAACGCCGCGUGAGUGAUGAAGGUCUUCGGAUCGUAAAACUCUGUUAUCAGGGAAGAACAAAUGUGUAAGUAACUGUGCACAUCUUGACGGUACCUGAUCAGAAAGCCACGGCUAACUACGUG